rnacentral:rRNA from 1 species
UACGGAGGGUGCAAGCGUUGCUCGGAAUCACUGGGCGUAAAGGGCGUGUAGGCGGUUUCGUAUGUCUGGCGUGAAAGCCCCGGGCUCAACCCGGGAAGUGCGUUGGAAACUGCGAAACUAGAGUCUCGGAGAGGAAGGUGGAAUUCCAGGUGUAGCGGUGAAAUGCGUAGAUAUCGGGAGGAACACCUGUGGCGAAAGCGGCUCACUGGACCACAACUGACGCUGAUGCGCGAAAGCUAGGGGAGCAAACAGG